rnacentral:tRNA from 1 species
AUUACCUUGGCAGAAUAUGCGCUAGAUUUAGGAUUUAGUUAUAUAGUUAGACACUAUAGGUAAUA